UACGGGGGGGGCAAGCGUUGUUCGGAAUUACUGGGCGGAAAGGGCGCGUAGGCGGUUGGAUAAGUCAGCUGUGAAAACCACGGGCUUAACUCGUGGCCUGCAGUUGAGACUGUCUGGCUUGAGUGUGGGAGAGGAGAGUGGAAUUCCUGGUGUAGCGGUGAAAUGCGUAGAUAUCAGGAGGAACACCGGUGGCGAAGGCGGCUCUCUGGACCACAACUGACGCUGAGGCGCGAAAGCUAGGGGAGCAAACAGG
rnacentral:rRNA from 1 species